AGGUUCAGAAUGAUCCUAAAGUCAUUUUAUGGCCACAGAAGACGAGGACAGCGCAGAAUGUGGUCAGAUGUGUUUAGCUGACAGAUAGAUCUACAGUUUCAGAAGCUGAGGCCUUCGCGCUGUGGGACAGAUUUCAUGCUCUGGAUCGCCACCACACCAGGGAUGAGACAAGCCAAACAUCUUACCGUCCUGUAUGAACAGCACAUAUCCAUCAGCUUCUCCUCAGUGGCCCAGUGCUCCACCCUCACGUCAGGUUGAUCAUCCCAUCUCCUGCUUCUCUAUCCUGAGAUGUUUGGAAAAGAAACAGUGGAGUCGAGCAGACUGCGCCUCCUUCCCAUCGCCUCUCCAUCCAUUCCAGCCCUCUGGCCCACAUUGCCCUCCCAGCACCAGGUGGUGUGUUGCCUGCUCCCACCUGCUCGCCUGAGAUGCCACUCUGCCUCUUCCAGACAACCACCACGUGUAAUGCAGAUUAGUUACCAACACAGGGUGAAGAGAGAGAGUGGGAUAGAGGACAAGGAGGUUCAUGUAUUCUUGGAACAUGCCGAAAAGUGUUUCCUGUCCCACUUCCUGACUGGAGAGCGAUACGGAGAUGCACCAGUAACACACAGAGAAAAAGAGUGUGCGUGCUCUUGUAUGUGUGUGUUGGUGGUGGGGGGGUGACACUCUGUGCUCGACAGGCUCUGCCAUCAUGCCAUAUAUCUUAACAUGACUCAUUUAUUACAUCUGCCUAUGUUAGUGGCAGUAACACGCCAGUGAACAAACAGAGAGGACAUGUCAGUCUCAGGAACAGACAGAGUGCUCCCACAACAAACAGGAGUGGCUGUAAUGAGGCCACCGGUGAAGUGACACCUGAGUGAACCUGACAUUGUACGUGUGAGAGAGUCCUCGCCUGGAUCAGGCCAUCAGCACUUUCUAAUCAGACUUUCAAUUUCAAAAAUAGCACCUCCGCAAACCGUAAAUCUCUCUGCAGAGAGCUCCAGGCUUUUGUGUUUCCCUUUCUCUAAUUGUCCUGUGUCUCUGCCUCAUAAAUCUCUCAGGGAAGAGCCAUUAGCAAAAAUGGCUGGCAGGGACUUUGCCACAGAGACAUGGCUGCUCUGUUCACAGUAAGAGGAUGUCCAGAUACUGAGUCAAGGCACUAGGGUACGCAGCCCAGUUGCCAGGGUCAGAUGACAGCAUGUCUGGCUUGGCAGCACCACUUUUCAUGUCAGCGACCAGCCAGCCACCAUUUGGGACGCCUGUGGUCAGAAUGGUUUCCUUCCCAAGCCUCAGUUGGGUUGAAUUGUCACAUAAUAUCCUCGCUGAAUGUCACUGUGCUUUCUACUGCACCGUACAAUGAAUCUGUUUCCUGAACUAAUUUGCUUGAUGUAAAGUGUCUCAACAAACUGGAGAGAAUGCAUGGAAAUUCACUGCCACAGUACAAUGCAGACGAAAACAAUGACAUCAAACAAAGUCUGGCUAAAUAAGGCACUGCAGAACGCAGCGAUCCAAGUCUGUAAUGACUUGAUACUAUGUAAGCAGUGCUGUGAGUUGUGUGUUUCAUGUGUUAAGAGCCUAACACAGGGUGAUGGCCAGCUCUGGGAACAGAACAUGGAAAAAACUUCUCACAAUCAAAUAUCCUGUCUUAAGUGUUUUGAGGAAUUUUGUGUAAAUAGGAAUCAGUCAGUUGCAGCAGUAAAACGAUUUCCUGUUACAAGCACAGCGGUUGGCUGAGGAACAUCAAGUGGGACGUGAGCAGGAACUGGCAUCAUGUAACACAGAGACCGGCAACAUGCAGGACAUGCUGCAGCGUUUUUUGUAAAUGCCACAUGUGAUAAAAAAAAUAUUUGAUUGUGGUGGUGAUUAUUUUUUCCAUGGUGCUUUUCCGCUUGGGUCAUUUUGUGAGGAGGGAAACAUGAUCUAUUUUUAAAACUUGAUAUAAAGAUUUUAUCCUGCUCUCUCAGAGUUUUCCCAUGCCUUUUAUAGAUAAGUAAUUCCCUUCCAUUUCUUAAGUUGGACAGUAAUAUUAUCUUUAAUAUGGUAAUCAUUGCAGAAAAACCAUCUUUGUGCCUGAGUUUGAGAAUGUGGUACAAGUGUGGUUAAUUUAUGAGUAAUCUAUAUAAAUGUGUCUCAUUAUUACUAUAAAUCAUCAAAGAGCCUGGAAACAGAGGUAUAAAUGACUUUAACCAUUUCAUUAAAUCUAAUUAAAUUGAAUUGACAUUAAAAGUCAUCAUUUCUGUCUCUUUUUUUAUGAGUACAGAUGAGAUGUGAGCCAUGCUGGAUUUCCUCAGUGUUAAACACAUACUGCGUACAGUAUUACAGAGUUAAUGGGACAGAUAAUUGACAGUGAACCAUAGGAGGUUAA